UACGUAGGUGGCAAGCGUUGUCCGGAUUUACUGGGCGUAAAGAGCGCGCAGGCGGUCCGUUCAAGUCGCGUGUGAAAGCCCCCGGCUCAACUGGGGAGGGUCACGCGAUACUGAUCGACUCGAAGGCAGGAGAGGGUAGUGGAAUUCCCGGUGUAGUGGUGAAAUGCGUAGAUAUCGGGAGGAACACCAGUGGCGAAGGCGACUACCUGGCCUGUUUCUUGACGCUGAGGCGCGAAAGCUAGGGGAGCAAACGGG
rnacentral:rRNA from 1 species